rnacentral:lncRNA from 1 species
AAUAAUAUCUAAAACUAGGGCUAGGCAGGCUCCUAUACUUCCGAAAGUAUGGAGGCUUCUGUACUUAUAAGUUGUUUUCGAUGAUGGGACAUCUAAUCCGACGAUCAAUUCCGAUAGAUAUGAUCUACGCUAUUGGAACUAUUUAGAAAUCAAAUUUCAUAAAUUUUCGACUUUAUUUGCCCUGUAAAAAAGUAGCCUCAAAAUGGAGGGCGGAAAAUAAAAAUUUUAUAAAAAACAGUAAUAGAAAACUCAAAAUUUAAAUUAGAAAUAUUGAUCUUACUAUUGAUGUUAAGUAAAAUUUUCUGUUAGAGCUUUAUGUAAUUUGGAUUGUUCUUGCACCGUUUGAACUUAAAAACAUGCAUGCCACAUCGACCGUUAAAAUAGUCAUUUUUAAGACCUCUUGAUCACUUGGUAUAUAAUGUCGAAAAAUUAUAAAAUUUGGUUUCUAGAUAGCUCCAAUAACGUAGAUUAUGUCUAAGAGAGCUGAUCGUCGACUCAAAUGUCCUAUCAUAAAAAAUAACUUAUAAGUACGAAGGCCUACCGACUCUUCCUAGAGCAAGUGGCAAAGGGCUUCGCGGUUGGUACUUAUGAUCCAAGUUCGAAUCCUAGUUGAUUCACAUUUCUAGCUAAUUUUAUUUCUAAAUGAAAUAAACGAAACAAGUAGCGUGUUAUCUAUUUUUCAAAAAAAUAAAUAAAUACAAAGCCCUUCGUAUUUUCGAAAACACAGAAUAAGUUGGUGUCAAUCUUUGUCCCACCCAAAUCACAUGUCUAAGAUAUGUCCAAUUUAAUGAUGUCUUAUCUCCUCUACUUUUCUAAAAAAUUGUGCAUUUAUUCAAGGCACAAAUUUCAAAGCUUGUGACUGAUUCUAAAGUCUCACAUGAUCUAGAAUAGAACCAACAUGAAAAUUGGCCCUAAAGGUUUUUUUUUUUUUUUUUCUCUUCUCUUUAAGUACCACUAAUCACUUAAGUAGAGUAAGUCUUGUGUGCUAUUAGAAGCACAGAGACAUUUGUACCGCUAAGACGUUUUCGAUAAUAGAGCUUUCAAAUUGACGAUCGGCUCCGUUAGAUUUUAUUUGAAGUGUUUAGAAAAUAAAUUUUGUGAUUUUUUUUUAUAUCAUUUACCUAGCGAUCCAAAGUAUUCAAAAUCAAAUAAAAUCCAACUAAAUUUUUUUUUUUCAAGUGGGGCCCUCAA